GUUCUGACAGCUCAUCUGGUAGAGCGUGAGACCCUUAAACUCAGGGUUGUGGGUUCAAGUCCCACGUUGGGCA